rnacentral:tRNA from 1 species
GCGGGAGUAGCUCAGUGGUAGAGCAUCACCUUGCCAAGGUGAGGGUCGCGGGUUCAAAUCCCGUCUCCCGCU